UACGUAGGGUGCAGGCGUUAAUCGGAAUUACUGGGCGUAAAGCGUGCGCAGGCGGUUGUGCAAGACAGAUGUGAAAUCCCCGGGCUCAACCUGGGAAUUGCAUUUGUGACUGCACGGCUAGAGUGUGUCAGAGGGGGGUAGAAUUCCACGUGUAGCAGUGAAAUGCGUAGAGAUGUGGAGGAAUACCGAUGGCGAAGGCAGUCCCCUGGGCCUGUACUGACGCUCAUGCACGAAAGCGUGGGGAGCAAACAGG
rnacentral:rRNA from 1 species